CCUACGGGUGGCAGCAGUGGGGAAUAUUGCACAAUGGGGGAAACCCUGAUGCAGCGAAGCCGCGUGAGUGAAGAAUUAUCUCUGUACGGUAAACUCUAUCAGCCGGGAAGAAAAUGACGGUACCUGACUAAGAAGCCCCGGCUAACUACGUGCCAGCAGCCGCGGGAAUACUUAGGGGGGAAGCGUUAUCCGGAUUUACUGGGUGGAAAUGUAGCUUAGACGGCAGCACAAGUCUGGAGGGAAAUCUCGGGGCUUAACCCCGGAACUGCCUUGGAAACUGUGCGGCUGGAGUGCAGGAGGGGUAAGCGGAAUUCGUAGUGUAGCGGUGAAAUGCGUAGAUAUUAGGAGGAACACCGGUGGCGAAGGCGGCUUACUGGACUGUAACUGACGUUGAGGCUCGAAAGCGUGGGGAGCAAACAGGAUUAGAUACCCGGGUAGUC
rnacentral:rRNA from 1 species